AGGGACCCUAAAAUGAACUGUCCUCCCAUGAGUCUCACAGUCGACUAUAGAAUGAUCUCUUUUCCAGAGCCAAACAAUGAGUCGAAGUGCUUCACAGUUUGUAGUUUCCCAGCUGACAACCCAUACACCUUGGGUUACUAUUUUCUAGUGUUGUCUUUAUUUCCAUACUGUGUCAUUGUUCUGGAAAUUUCUCCAUGGACAGUUGUGAGCUUCAACAAUUUGCACAGCAUUAAACAGUCUAAGAUCAUGACCUGUGCUGUGAACUUUAUUCCACUGGCAUAUGCCAGUCCAUGAAGGCCCACCAUACGGACCAACAAAGAUCUCCCCACAAGUGUGUUUCAGCAAAAGCUCCCUGAAUAAGGCGUGUACUGUUUUAAGUCACAUCAAAAUCCCACUGAACACCCGGAUGAAAUCUAGAAAAUACAGUUGGAAAUAAAAAUACCCUGAGUGUUUCUCCACUUCUGACUGUGUGCAAUCAACUUUGCAUCCACUCGCUCACUCUGCAUGAGUUUGGUUUUGAUGAUCUAUUUCUUAUUGAUAGCAAAUUGUUUUGUGGAACGAAGGGCUCAUGAAUGCUGAUGGGAAGGCAUGUAUUCAUUCCAGCAAUGGGCUACCAUCAGACCUAGCAACUAUGCCCAUCUCAGUUGCCCCUUCGCAUAUCUUUUUUCCCAGGUUAAAGCAUAGCAGUACCUACUGUAGUUUGUUUAAGGGACCUAAGGUAUUUCCCUAAGUCAGAAGUUCAUAUGUCUGAUAGCAGCAGUGAGGGGAUGGAGAGGACCCUAAACGGCAUGUUUUAAAGGGACUUUCCAUUUUGACAUUUUAGCUGUUGUAUGCUACUAAUAUAACUGUAGAGAGGUGGCAAAUCUAUAAUACCAGAAGGGGAAAGUAUUCUUUUGCUGUGCCUAUGAUUGCUUACAUUUUUAAAACCUCUAGUUUUAAAAAAAUUUUUUUGAAUGGUCAAAAAUCUGGCAAAACUGGAUAUAGCUGUGCCGGCAGAUCUUCCAGUCUGAAACUUUUAUUUUUAAGUAUGCUUUUUCCUUCACUUACACCACAGUUCUUCGAGUACUUUCUACAGAUGUUCAUCUGAAGUUGGGAAGACUUUGGAAAGCUCUAAGCAGAAGAGUGCCUAGAUCCAUAACCUGAGAUGUCCCAUGCAUAUCAUACAGAGGGAAUAUGUGUUAUGAACUGCUAACAGGAGCAGACACUUAAUAAUUCCUCAUUGCUAUUUCCAGGUCACAAGCCCUCCUUCCUCUUCCUAAUAGCCACUUCUCUUUCAUCCACCAAGAAGGUUGCUGGUCCCCUUCAGUCACUCUUCCAUGUUGCUCAUGAAUUCAGCCCGUGGCCCCUGCCUUUUCCAGCACUACCCUUCUGAAUGCUUGAUGAUUUUAGUACUCAUUUAUAGACACACCUACAAAUACUCUGGCUUCUCUUUUUGUUUAAAUCUUUCUGGUGACACUUAUUAUCAAUGACAAUAAAAGUUCCUAAAGCCAUAGUGGGAAAUUGCUCCCAUUGGCUCCUGUGUCUUAUACAUCCUUUCCAAGCAAAGGCCAUUGCUUCACCCAUAACCCUUCCCUUUUGCAUCACUAAUGUCUCCCAUUCUAUGGAGGAUUUCACCCAUGUCCUGUGUUAGAACCCUCCCCUAGGCCUUAGUACCCCAUUUCAUUUCCAUCUAUUUGGUCUGCUUCCCUUCAAAGAAAAACUACCCCAGAGGAACUGUGUCUACUCACUAACUACAUUUCUUUCUUUCUUUAGAAACAUUUGAACUCGGUCUUUCAUCCCCAGAAUGGUGACUUAACUAAGGGCAAUACUAACUGCCUCCCUGCCCAGUGCAGCAACCAGCUUUGGUUGCAUGCUGCUACUCUUCAAUCUUUGACACAGUGAAGAACUGCUUCUUGAAACAGUCCCUGUGCCUUGGACUUCCCUGUUUGCUGGCAUGUGCUAGUAGCUGGUGCUGGAUAUCCCUUUUCUAGGUGAUCUCUUCAAUGUUGAGCCUUAGAAACCAUCUAUACAAUGGCAUGAGCACAUCUUCAUCUCCAACCCCAGCCUCUUUCCUGAAUGCUGGAGUCACGGGCCUAAUUCCAUAAUAUGUAUCUUCAUUUGGAUAUGUGCUGUGUCCUGCCUCCCCCGCACCCCCCCUCCAAAAAAAAACCAAACCAAACCAAACCAAAACUGAUUCAUGGUCUUCCCCUGAUUGGCAAAAUGUCAGCUCCACUCUUCCACAUCAGAAAAAUCUCAUUGUCAUACCCUAAUUUUACCCUUUCAAAUACUAUAUUUUAGAAACGUGGCCUUUCUUAGAUUUGGGGUAUAUCAAUGAUCUAAUCUGGGCCCAGGCUACUUUCUAUCUGCCAUAAUGCUUUUAGAAUACAAGCCAAAAUAUGCCUCUCUUCUUCUAAGUUCUACAGAGUCCUCCCAGCUAGCUCCGAAUAACAUAUUCAUGUGGCCAAUAAAGCCAGUGAAAUCUCCCCUACCUUUUCAUCCUCCCCAGCUACCCUUUUCUCUGACCUGCUUUUUCUGUUCACUUGGAUCUAGCCAUGUAAUCCAUGUUUCCCCCAGAAUACCCUCACAGCAUGCCCCUUCGUGAUAGGCUAUUCAGAAACCUCAUUCAUCACCUAUCUGCAUAGUUUGCUCCUUCACUUUCUUGAGAUCUUGUUGACAAAUCUUCUUUUCCUCUCAGAGAGCUGUAUUAUAGAAAACCACCACCUACAACCACUUUCCGCUUACCACCAUUCAUAGCCCUCCUCACUAGCUACUUUGUUCCUGGGUUUGUCUUCGAAGUGCUUUGAAGAAUACCUAACAGGCAGUAGCUACUCGGUAAAUGUUUAUUAAAUGGAUGUUUGAAUACAAAUAAACAAGGACAAUUUUGAAAUCAAAAUGGCAUAAACUAUGUGGUUAAUUUUAGUUUCUAUACCAAAAUUAAAAAGCUAUUUUCAGAGGCCAUAAAAUCAUAAAACACAACUUUGUUUUUAUAUAAAAAUAGAAAACCCUAUGGAUUUUCAGUCCUUGCAGGGAAGACUCCUGACUUUGACCCUGGCUAUCCUUUCUUGCUUCAUGAAUCACCUUUACAAACUAAGUUACAGGAUUAGAAGAGAAGCCAUUAUAUAGACUGCUGAAAAAAAGCAGCAUUUCAAAACUCAUAGACAAACACAAGUAAUGGCCCCCUCUAACCUAUUAUCAGUGC
rnacentral:lncRNA from 1 species